AAAUGUCUACCCUUAAGGCCACGAAUUUUCAAUACCCUUUUAUUCCAGGUUUAUGGGCUGUCCGUCCGUCGAAAGUAAUUAUCAAUAAGUUUGGAGGUACCUCAACAUCGCGGAAUGCCUGGUGCUCAACAGCGGAUCCAACGAUGGGCAGAGGAGUCGGGAUCGGUGGUCCAAAUAUCGUUAGCGAUGCUGGCAAAGGUGUUUGGUGCUGGAUUACUUCCUUUUGUUCAACAGUUAUUGAGCUUUUUUCUCUUUUUGUGCAAUAAAGGCAAUAAAUAGUUUUAAAAUUUUGUUUUGUGA